CAGUUAGUGUUCAUGCAAUGGCCACACACAGCAAGCCAGGCUGCAAGGACCCAGUGAAAAGCAGCUCCUGAGAUUCCAGGGACCAGCAGGAGGUGGUACCCAAAGCAUCCACUCCUGAGACCAACCCAGGGACCAGCAGGAUGUGGUACCCAAGGCAUCCUCAUCCCAACCACAGCAGAAGUUGAUUGACAGGUGGAAGGAGAGUGGGACAGAAGGCCAAACAGACAAGAGAAAGAAUCUGCCUCUCGGGGUGCUGAGGACUCAGUGGAGAAGGAAUGUGUCACACCUUGAGGGCCCCUGCAUGCUGCUGUGUAGAACCAGCGUGAUGCAAGUU